rnacentral:lncRNA from 1 species
UAUUCUUGUGGAUAGCACAACAAGACAGUACUACCAAAUAUGCCAUAAGCAUCACUAGGUCAACAUCAUACCAAUCACUAUAGCAAGCCUUGUGGAUAGCACAACAAACUCACUAUAAUUUUUGAUAUACUCUAUUGACUUAGUAUAAGCUAAAUACCAUUAGCUUCAUAAUGCAUCAAGACAGUAUUAAGCCAGCCCCCAC